UGCCUCUCCAACACAAACACCCGCUCCUCUCCUCUCCGGCCCUCCCUCUCCGCCGCGUCCUCCAGCUGCUGUCAGUGAGGAGCCGACACAUGUUUACCUAUUCGGUAUCGCGCCGAAACGACACAAAGGUGGAAGAGCAGAACCUGGGAGUCACGCCACACGGCUGGAGCGCCGUUGGACAUGCCGCUUGCUAAUCAUGCUCCGGGGCAGGCGGUGCAGCCUGGAGGUCCUCACGGCCUCCAGCUGGAAGGGCGUGAGCAGCAGUCACCUCCUGAAGACGUGAGCGUCCAGCAUUUCUUAUAUUACUGACCUGUAUGUAUAAAUACGGCUGGAGCGAGAACAUGUUGAAUGAAGUAUCUAUCUACCUAUCUAUCUAUCUAUCUCUCGAUCCACCUACCUACCUAUCCAUCCAUCCAUCCAUCUAUCUAUCCAUCUAUCCAUCUAUCCAUCUAUCCAUCUAUCCAUCUAUCUAUCUACCUACCUACCUAUCCAUCCAUCUAUCUAUCUAUCUCUCGAUCCACCUACCUAUCCAUCCAUCCAUCAAUCUAUCUACCUAUAUAUCUAUCUAUCUAUCUCUCGAUCCACCUACCUAUCUAUCUUUCUAUCUACCUAUUUAUCUAUCUAUCCAUCUAUCUACCUACCUAUCCAUCUAUCUAUCGAUCCACCUACCUACCUACCUACCCAUCCAUCCAUAUAUCCAUCUAUCCUUCUACCCAUCCAUCUAUCCAUCUAUCCAUCCUUCUAUCCAUCUAUCCUUCUAUCCAUCUAUCCAUCUAUCCUUCUAUCCAUCCAUCUAUCCUUCUAUCCAUCUAUCCAUCCAUCCAUCCACCUAUGUGUAAUAGAUACCAUUUCAAAAAGCCAUCCAGGAGUGCUGUGAUGGGAGGAGAGAAGGUGAGUCUGACUCAGAGCAGCACGAGGAGCCGACUUCUGGGAAGUCAUCUGGUUGCCCACUUUCCCCUCUGCUCCUUCUCCUCUCCUCCCUCCCUCCUCACCCUCUCCACUCAGUGUUCUCACCUCCUCUCCCCAGGCGCUCCCCUGUGGGCGGGGCGACGUGCUGGAGGGGAAACCGACGUAGUAACGCAACAAAUUUGGCAGUUACCCCGACACUAACCGCUGGCGUGUUUGAGCCGUUGCCGUGGUGACCAGCGGGCUCCCGCAGCAGGGACCGGGCCUCCUGUUUUUCGCACCUAGAAGAGAGGAAGCAGCUUGGGAUGGAAGGUGUUGGUUACAGGAACAAAGAGGGUGGAGGGAGGUGGACUCACUUGCACUUUUACUUUGUUAUAUCUUUUAGUUGUGUUCUGGUUAAGCUCAAAUUCUGAAUACCAUGUUUAUUCACAUUUCUUUCUAGACCGUGCUCUGGGAUAUCACCACGCACAUAAACAAACAAAUAAUUUCAAAUGAGGCCUCAGAAACCAUUGAUAGUGAGCCAAACCGCUAAAGACAACAAUAACUGGAGUAACAUUCAUCACAAUCCUGGCUAAUAUCACUACAACAGGAAACUUUCCCAGUAACAUUUUAUUCCGGGAACUGAUUUAGGUUUUUAUGAAAAGGACAGAAUGUUGCAUGCGUCAACACAGAAAUGUUGUCUUUGUGUUUCCUGGAUGAUAAAAGGAUAUUGAUGCAUAAACACACAGCCAUUAUA